GACUGUUGCACCAUGGGAUUUAGUCAGGAAGUUGAAUAUGAUCAAGACAGCCUCACGUUUUGUGUUAUCUCUCCAUGCUAUCCACGUCAAUCUUCCACGCUCCAUGCCUUUGGCAGCAUUCUCGGUGGAUCUAAUGGAAACCAUAAAGAGCAUUUAAGAAUUAUUCAGCUCUUCUUAUCACAGCAGCGACUGAAACAGACACAGAAUAAUGUCAUCAUCAUUUGACUUUGGUCAUAAGAAACAGUCAGUACUUCCUUGUUGUUAUAGCACACAUGUAGUACAGAUUGUGAAGGUGAAGUACACAGGUACUACAGGGAGUAAGGCAAGUUUAUUAGUAUCUCACAUUUCAACAACAUGACAAUUCUGAUGCUUCUUAUAAAACCAUUAACUUCUAAACCAUCAAAACAUGGGAAGAAAAGAAAUUAAAACCAAUUAAGAGCAUUGAUUGAAACAUCAUUAAAAUAAUAAACAAACUUAAAAUUGAAUUUAUGUUGCAGUGCAGUUUAUGAAAUAAAUAGUAGUAAGUCAAAGGAAUGCCUUACUUGGUAAAGGUAGUACAGGUAUUUACAAAAACCAGUGUCUUUGACUGAAGGGUUCAAAGUCUCAGUCGGUGGCGAGCACAUGUGACGAUGUAAUCAGGGUGGAGUCAGAGCUCUUAACUUUAAAAAAAAAAUUGGAGUGACAUUUUGUCAGAGGUGACCAUACGGGCGACGGUGUGGGGGCUGCUGCGGACGAUGCGGUGAACGGGGUGGGGGCCCGAACGCUAAGCUACGGGAGGUUGCAGACGAACCAACGCAGCUCAGGACGAAGUCCGAUUUUUUUCCGUAAGAAAUUAGAUGUGUGGUGGGAGUGCGUGACUCCAGAACUAAAUGAGUGACUGUCACGCUCAAUGCGUGACACUUGGGAGCCCUGUGGAGUUCUUACCUGCACAUGAUUUCAUGAGUCAGCAGAACUCUGCACAUCUCUGGAUUCUUAUCCUGUCCUUCAUAGAUGAUGGCCUGAAACAGAGACAAACACACAGGUGUGUUCAGGUGUGCUUCAUGUUCGUAAAGUUUCAGCUCUCAUUGUUGAAACAUCUCUCUGAGCAAGCAGUGAUUAUCGGAUGUGAGCAGACAGGAAUCAAACAUGUAACAUUCGCACCCAAACAUUUGGAGCUGAAGAGCUGUAUCUCAAACGUCUGGAACCAAACAUCCAGAACCAAACGUCUAGAAGACCAAAGUCCUGGAAUCUAACAUCUGGAUCUCAAACAUCUGGAGCCAAACAUCUGGAUCUAAAUUGCCUCAAACCAGACAUUCAAAACCGAAUAUCUGGAACCAAACAUCUGGAUGCAGAUGCGGACGGGGGGGGGGGGUAAAAAGUGGCCCGGGAGUUCCUGUGAGACCGGGACGCGUAACACACAGCGUUGCCCGCUCAAAGCAUCGCACAUUUCAGCCAGUCAGUGGCCUGGAAAAACACCUGUAACAUUAUUUUGAAUGAUUACAAAGAAGUUACAACAUAUGUUUUUUUAAUAACAUUUGGAUCCACCAAUUUGCCUGGAUGGACACAUGGAAUAAAAUGAUACUGGCUAUGGUAACACUCUAGGUAGUUUUCUAGAUGAAUAUGCUUCUCUCUGGGCUAGUAUCCGAUGGUUAUAUGUAUAUCUACAGAGCCUUAACGAAUGAAUGUCAGCAGAGAAAGAACUGACAGUAAAGACACUGGAAUCAGAGGGUAGACUUAGUAUAAGCUAUAUUGUAGAAAGAAACAGAAAAAAGCACACCAUCAGUGGUAUCAGUAGUGUUGCAUCCUGUGUGUGUCAUUGUGUGUGUAGGGGUGUUACAACCUAUUGUUUUGUUAUGCACCGGUAUCUCCACUCUGUGGUUAGGGUUAACUGGGGAUUUCCCCGGGAUCCCCUAUGGCCAGCCCGCCCCUUUCUGGAUCUCAAACAUCCAGAACCAAACUUGUGAAGAGAAGUUUUUUUUAGAGACGAGAUAGCGGAUCAAUCAGUUUCUGGAUUUUGUCUUCCAAUAAAUUUCCUGUCUACUUCUGUCUACGUCCUGUUUACUCCCUUUAGUUUUUGUACCUGCUUCGUCAUGGAGUCGAUCAGACGGACGUAGAGAUCUUGUUCUGUUCUCACUCCUGAAAACCAGACAAUUAACAGCAUUGUUGUUAAUAUCAUUAUAAUUUUGAAAUCAAAUAAUGACAAAUUAAUAACAAAAUCCAGUCAUUUUGAAUUCCAUUAUAAUAAUUACAAUUAUAAUAAUUAUUAAGUAAUUGUCAGUAUCAUUAUACUAUUGUAAGGAUUAUAUAGUUGGAAUGCAGCUCAAGCACAACUAAUUCUUCUACUGCUAGUAUUUUCAGCAAUUCUUUUCAAAUUCAUUUCAGUUUUUGGCUUACAGCUUCAUACUUUCAGCAUUCCAACAAUGCGUUGGAAUCUGAAGGAAAUGCAUGUUCUAAUUCUUUUCUUUUUAUUCUUCUUUCUGUUUCUUCCGUACAUAUUUUGAACUCCUUUCAGCUAUUAAAAAUGUUGAAAUAUUUUCAGGACAUUCCUGCUGUCAGUCUUUUACAACUGGUAUGCUUGAAUUAAUAUGAAUCAAAUUCAUGGACCUUUUAACAUGGUUUUCCAAUAGUGCUUUAAUUUAACAUUCAAAGCCUCCUUCUUCCUCAAUCUUUUAGCUAUAGCCACCAUUUUAAACAUCAAAUUGUUUAAGAAAGCCUAAACUAUUUUUUAAAAAAACAGCUUUUUGAUAUCUAUUUGAUAAAACUUUCCAAUUUUAAUGAUACGUAUUAUUUAUUAUAUAUUAUAUAUAGUUUUUCAGACCGUCCGAGAUUUUAAAUUUUAUUAGUUUGUAUGUGGCCAGCUAGACUUGACACUGAAGAGCUAGAGGGGAGAGCAGUGUCAGAAUAUGGUUCAAAAAGUAUUUUGUAGUAUUAUGCACGCAUUAGCUAGCAUAGUGGUAGCUAGCACCCCAGAUGCAGAGUCGACUCCGGGGCAGAUCUGGUGCGCAUGGCCACACCGUGUCUGACUCUACAGCGGAUCAGAGGUACCACUGCUGACACGGUGCAGAUCCGCACUUCAAAUGCAACUUUUUCCCCAUUUCAAAUACUGCAGGCACGUAACAGGCAGCCUAAAUUUUGGAGCCACAAAACUUGAAAGAGUUUUGAAUGUGACGAGCAUUUGAUCAACCAAAGGUAAGCCUUUGUUUGGUAACUAAUUUGGUAAGCAUCAUAUUUUCUUUCCUUAAAUAGGUUUAAAACCAUGAUUUUAAGUGUAAAAUUCAAAACAUGGUGUAUUAUUUUAGGUCAUUGCAAAAAUCAAGAAUUUAGAUGGGACAGGGACCUGGAGAGAUGCAUAAUUAAUUUUACAUUGGUCUAACAAUAUCAAAUGGUUCCCCCUGCUUAUUAGAUGUAGUGCUCAGGAAUCAGGAACAUUUCUUGCUAAAGUAUGUUAGACAUGAAAGGAAUUUGACAUGGCGGUUGGUGCAUACCGUUGGACAGUAAGACAAAGAAACAAUGGAUAACAAGACUAGUAACACAGUACAGGAAAAAGGACACAAUUCACAAAUCGAGCUUUGUGCAGGUAAAGCUAACCCUGACAUUGGGUCUUUGUGUAAGCUUGUCUUCAAUGUGUACAAAAAGCCCAUUUCUGUUUCAUCACAUUUUUACAGUAUGCCUCUGUUUUCAAGCAAGUCAAUUCACAUACUCCUGCAUAUAGAGCAUUUUUGAGUAUUGUGUUCAAAAUGUCUUGGAACAGGAAGUUAUAUUUCUGUGACUGAUGACACUUUUUGUUUCUUUUCGUUAAUAAUACGGAAUGUUCCAUUUAAUCGAGUUUAUCAACAACGAAAACUGAAACAGUAGUACCACAGAGUUGUUAUAAUGACGAUGACUGCCUUUGGCCACGUUACAAGAGGGACAAAAGAGUGGACAGGGCUGUCAAAAAUGUAAAGAAACCUGGCCCUGACUGGACAUAUGACAGCAGAGUCGUUACAUCAGGGUUAGGGUUCAUAGGAUUGAUUCGACUAACUCUAAUGACUCGUCUAAUCAGCCUGAAUACAACGAAAGUGCUGCGCAAACGUUCAACAGCUUCCCCAACCACCUGACAUGACACUCGAAGAUUUUGCAUUAAAAAAAAACAAUUUCUGUAUUUUCAGCAAUACUUUCAAAUUCAUUUCAGCUUUUAGCU